rnacentral:misc_RNA from 1 species
UCCGGCUUGUCACCGGCGGUUUCCCCAGAGUGCCCAACUAAAUGAUGGCAACUAAAGGCGAGGGUUGCGCUCGUUGCGGGACUUAACCCAACAUCUCACGACACGAGCUGACGACAACCAUGCACCACCUGUGCACGGCCCUUACGGACCCCGCAUCUCUGCGAGAUUUCCGUGCAUGUCAAGCCUAGGUAAGGUUCUUCGCGUUGCAUCGAAUUAAGCAACAUGCUCCGCCGCUUGUGCGGGCCCCCGUCAAUUCCUUUGAGUUUCACCCUUGCGGGCGUACUCCCCAGGUGGUUCACUUAACGCUUUCGCUGGGACGCGUACAGUAUAUCGCACACAUCGAGUGAACAUCGUUUACGGCGUGGACUAC